rnacentral:rRNA from 1 species
GAUGAACGCUGGCGGCGUGCCUAACACAUGCAAGUCGAGCGAUUCUCUUCGGAGAAGAGCGGCGGACGGGUGAGUAACGCGUGGGUAACCUGCCCUGUACACACGGAUAACAUACCGAAAGGUAUGCUAAUACGAGAUAAUAUGCUUUUAUCGCAUGGUAGAAGUAUCAAAGCUUUUGCGGUACAGGAUGGACCCGCGUCUGAUUAGCUAGUUGGUAAGGUAAUGGCUUACCAAGGCGACGAUCAGUAGCCGACCUGAGAGGGUGAUCGGCCACAUUGGAACUGAGACACGGUCCAAACUCCUACGGGAGGCAGCAGUGGGGAAUAUUGCACAAUGGGCGAAAGCCUGAUGCAGCAACGCCGCGUGAGCGAUGAAGGCCUUCGGGUCGUAAAGCUCUGUCCUCAAGGAAGAUAAUGACGGUACUUGAGGAGGAAGCCCCGGCUAACUACGCGCCAGCAGCCGCCGCAG